GUACGGAGGGUGCAAGCGUUGUCCGGAAUCAUUGGGCGUAAAGAGCGUGUAGGCGGUCCGGUCAGUCGGUUGUGAAAGUCAAGGGCUCAACCCUUGAAUGCCGGCCGAUACUGCCGGGCUAGAGUCCGGAAGAGGUGAGUGGAAUUCCUGGUGUAGCGGUGAAAUGCGCAGAUAUCAGGAGGAACACCGAUGGCGAAGGCAGCUCACUGGGACGGUACUGACGCUGAGACGCGAAAGCGUGGGGAGCAAACAGG
rnacentral:rRNA from 1 species